GGAUAGGUAUUUAAAGGUAUAAUGUUUGAUUUGCGUUCAAAAGUUGAUUUUUCUCUAUCUU
rnacentral:tRNA from 1 species